UUCAUUUCAACAGCGCUCCCUAGUUACAAUUCAUGAGGCAAAAGGUAAAGCUGCACGUGGAAGCUCAAAUGGCUGCAAAGACAGCAGCUGAGCCCUGGGCCCUGCCUUCAGCAGGUAACACUAUGAACUGCAAGCAAUCUUGGUUCUGCCCUUCCUACAGGCUGAUUUCAGCUAUCUGUCCUGUAACACAUGUUCAUCUUUCCCUCUUAUUCCUCCUUAUCUUCUCAUACCAUACACUUGCUGUUUCCCAAAUAUUUCUCAUGCACCCAGGCUGCUGCUCCUCUGUCUGCAGCCUGACUUAGGCUGGGGUCCACUAACCACACACCAGCACUCACAAGCACGGCUAAUAAGUCAUGUUGAUCUGCUUCUGUGCUGCCUCAGAUCCCGAUUCUGACCUACAUAAAGUCGUCUUUGAUGGAAGGGAAUCACUGGAAGACAAACAAAUCAACCCACCUGACACAAGGAGUCCUUGAUUUUUCUUCCUUACACUACUUAUAACUUUCUGCUUUCUUCAUUCAGAGCGUUCCAUCUAGUUCGAAUGCACAGCAGACAUUCUAGCCCAUUAACAUCCAUCAGCUAACAGAAGGGUAAUGAAUUCAUCAAUACUGCUAAAACGCGUGGGUACAGGAUCAUGCUGAAUCAUUUAGUAACUACAUUUGCAGCAAGAAAAGCUCAAACAACCCGCCCUGUGCUGUCAGCAACCAUCUUCCUGAAGGAGGAAAAAUGAACGAACUAAGCUCACCCUGAAUCCUGUUAUGCCUCUUGACAAGGCUGGCUGUGUCCCUACACACAGCACUGCUGUGCCAACGAGAUCUGUCUGCUCCCACUCACCCCUGGACAUCAGCUGCUUCCGUCAGACCACCUGGAUACUUGCAAGAAGCUUUCAUUGCUCAUUUUCCAGUAAAUGACACACGGACCUGGCUUCCCCCUGCUUGUUAGCAGACUUAAAAGCCUUUAGAACAGAGUUCUCAGGUGAUAAAGGAAAAUAAAACUAAAAGCAACCAUGCGUAGUUCCAGCAACACCAGGUUAACACUGCCAUUGUUAAGUGUGCUACAGAUCCACAUCCAGCUUUUACUUGCUAUUUACAAAGCCAGGGAGGGACCACCGCCUUCCAGCAACAAGUCGUCCCAACAGUGCUCAGUUCCAAACACACAUAAAGCAAACAGGCCCCCAGAUCAAUUGACCUUCAGAGAAAACACUGCCAACAAAUGUGGAAGUAGGGCUACUAAAAUCCCAGCCAGGACUAAGGGUAAAGCAUCACAGGUAAGAGGAACCAUAUUACUGAAUACAGAAGUAUCAAGUUAUUGUUCUCAUAACAGUGAAAGGAAAUGGCAUCUACUCUUUAAAAUAAUAAUAAUUAAUAAUCAGAUUUAAUAGUUCUAAGAAAUAAAAUGACCUUCAAAGUGUACAUUAGAAACUACCUUGCUUGUUUUGCCUUGUCAGUCCACCAGGUCUGGUCUUCUCUGUCUCACAGCAGGUUUAUAAAUGAUAUUUUAUUGCACUUCUGUUUACACUUUCAGUUUUUAUGAUAUCUACUCUUAAUUAAGGCCCAGAAUAAGCAGCGUUUUGUUAAGGCAGCCUCCACAAACCCAGUACCAUUAACUCAACACUCAGUAGCUCAGCUUCCUUAAUAUAGAUAAUGCCUUAGAAUACAUACACUUACACAUGUGUCUACAUAUCCUUAACUCCCACAGCUUAAUUCAAUUAAUACUAUUAAAUCUUUAAUGCUCAGCUUCAAAGGCUUUUUAAAAUUUUUAAUAGCUCUCAUAGGUUAGCAUGAAUGUUUUAAGGCUUUUUACUGUAUUUUAAAUAAACUCAUCUUUUCUUUCCA